CCUGGUAUUUUCUUCAUUGUAGUGUUUAGUAGCUCUCUAUGCAUGUGUGCCAUUACAGUUAACAGACAGCUGGGAGAACGUGGAAUUGUUUGAAGUGCUGCUUUCCUAUACUUGCAAUUUUUAAAAAUAUGUAUGUGGGAAGAGAAACACAUAUAGUGAAGAGUCACAGCACAAUAAACCUGAGUAUAUUCUCUUUAGGGAAGGGUGCUUCUCAAAUAUGAAGGAACAAUGAAAUAAUCUUGUUUGCUUUUUGGUUAGAAAUCUUUUUUGACCCAUAUAUGACUGCAAAAAACUUUAUAUUUCCCCUCUAAUUUUCUUUCACUAGAAUUUUUUCAUUCCUUUAAGUUAGGUUUUUUCCCCCAGUCCUCUGGGAUUUCCAGUUUUCAAUGUCUUAUACAUAAUUUCCCCCAUAGUUGUUCUUGAAACUCAGAAAUUUCCAUUAUGUGAUUUCUUUAACAUGCUGGUGAUGAUUUCCAUAUAAUGUUACAAUUUGUGUGUGUGAAAAAAAUGGUGUCAGAAAACCCCCAAAAAGGAUCCUGGCCUCUUAAGAGAUGCUUUUUCUGUUGGAAGUGUUUCUUUGGCACUUGAAGUGGUCAUUUGGUCAUUUUUUUCCUGGGCAUUGUCUCAGCUGAAAGCAGAUAGUUGUGAUGUUACAAGGAACAUGCUUGUGGGUAUGAACUGAACUUGCCUUUCUGGAAAAACAUUGAAUCUCAGUCCUGGCAACUAUUUAUCAGUUGCACACAAGAUUAAAACUUUGACAGGUAAACUGACUAGAAGGUGAGCUUUAUACAGGUUUUUUUUUCUAACAAGCAUAAUCUCAGUGGAUCUCUUUGGUGUUGAACAAAACCAACACUAUUUGUCAUUGUCUCGCUGCAAUGUUCUCUGUUUUCAUAAGCGUCAACAAAAUGGGCAGUGAAAUUUAAUACCAUGCUUGUGUUGCUUUUAUAUACAGGAAAACCCUUUGCAAGUGUUGGCUUUGACCAGACAUUUCAAUGCUAAGAUAAAAACAAACAACUGAACCUAGAUAUUAUUAGUAAUGGAGUAUAUAGGUCCAAGCUGGGCAAUUUUAGUACUGAGGGAAUACUCCCAUCACUGGCUACUACUUGCUGUUGUAGAAACCUGGAAUAAUUCUACCAGCAGUUGUUAAAGGAUUGUUUAUCCAUUCAAUAAUGCUAAGGAAGUCUGGCUUUACUCAGUCUUAGAAAGCAAGCUGUAUUUAUUUGUAUUAAUUUUUUAUGUUAGGCUCAUAAAUGCUUCCUAAAUGCUUGUUAAUCCUUAGUUUAGAUAAGGAGAUAGAACGGUUUCCAUCAUUAGCAAACAGUAGGCAAAUGGUAGCCAGUAGCUACCAUUUGGACUUACUAUAAAACAAAAUCCUGUUGCAUAGUUAAGCAGAGAGAAGGGGCCUUUUUGUACAUGUUGGUAUCUAAAAUGUACUAUGCUGAGGAGGUUUUCUUGUACAAAGGUGUGCCCCAUGUAGUGCAUCUCACUAGUAAUGACUGACUCAAUUACAUCAACAUCUUGUAAAUGCUGACUGACUUCUGUCUUCAUGUCCUAAUCCAAAAUUAUUUUCUAUAUUUUUCACAUGAGCAGUUUAUCAUGAGAAACCUGUGUCACUGUGAGUGCCUGGGGCUUGUAAAAAUGGGACAACUAUUUGUCUAAUGAAUAUAAUUACUUCCAAAAAUGUCAUAAUGUCAGACUUCAUUGGAACUUCUGUUCAUAACCAAAUGCCUUUUUUUGAUGUCUGCUCAAAACACUUGAGUAUUUCUCUCCUGUUUGCUUAGUGGUGACAGAAUGGGCAGUUUUCAGUGUUUAAAGAUGAACUAAGAGAAAGUGUAGUAGAGUUUGCUGCUGGCCUUAAAAGAGCUUUGUUCCAUGUUCUGCUUUCCCAUAUGUUUUCCAGUGUUACCUUAGACAAACAGGCUAAUGUGUGAUUUAGUUUUUUUAAUAAUAGUAACAGCAUAGAAGUUCUACUUCCCUACUAGUGAUGGCUUUGCUCUUGCAUUUUUGAUUACUGUCGCUUCUAUUGGUAGUACUAAUUACAUGACCUAUGUGAAAGUACAAAGACAAGAUAAGUAAUUUUUAUUGCUGCAUUUUUUGCGCAUGUGUAAUUAGUACUGGGACCAAAGGUCCUUAAAACGAGAACAUUAGACUUACUGACAGGCUAGAACCCUUAUCAUAUUGCCUCAAAAGCCUUGUUAGAUUCUCCUUUUUUGUAGUUUAAGUCCUUUACGUAAAGCCUGAAUCUAGUUACAGAGGAAUGAAAUCAGCUGAGACAGAGUCAUUGAAAUCCCUAACAAAAUCAUGAUGUAUUCCUUGGCAUAUUCAUAAUCAUCUGGAGGAGACUACAUUUGUCCCAGUGGGAGCUCUUCAAGUAGUAGGAAAGCAAAACACUUCUUCUGGCUUUUCAUGGAUGUGGUGGGAGAAAAUGAGGCCUUGCAGCAGUUCUUUGAAGGUAAGACUAGUUUCAAGAGAAGCCUUAACAAUUUUUAGUGUCAGCAAAACCAAUAAUUGUUUGGGGGUAACUGAGGAAGAAAGGAGGAAGAAAAAAUGCUCUGAAACCCAAAGCUGUGUUUACACUAAGUUAUUGUGGAAGACAGUAGCAGAAUGAUUACAAAUAGUACAGAUGUGGUGCAGUGCCUUUUUCUUUGUGCUCUGGCCAGAAUACCAAAGGGAAGGCACACCCAGCAAAGUCUGCAAUAUGGCUCGUUGCAGUGUAACACUUCUGAAAUCUUAGUGAUUUUCAUGUGGUUAGAGAUCUCACUUCCUCCUCAGUUUUGGCAUGUCAGGUAAAGAGGGUUUUCUUUCCACCAACUGAAAUGGCCUGAUUGUAACUGGUAAAAUGUUAAUUGUGUCAGUAUCCUCAGGACCCUCCUGAGGAGUUAAACCUGGAUAUUUUUGUCUUUUGGCUGGGAUCAUCUGUCCUGCCUUUUUCUCCAAGACAUUUUCUAUUCAAGCUCGUCCAAUUAGUUUCAUCAUUUUCUCUUACUACACAAUUCACUUCCUAAUAGAUCCCACAAUAAAACUGCAUUUUUAUUAUUAUUAUAUUUAUUUUAUUAUUUAUUAUUAUCUCUGAUAAUGUGUUCAAAGGCUUUUUACUUUUGUUUUUUUUUACUAUUUUUUUUAUCUCUCUCCAGUUUGCUUUUUGUUUUUAAUAUGUCAUCUGAUCUAUUCCAAGCUGCUUUUGUUGUAUUUGUUUUCAAAUGCAGGUAUUCACUGAUCUCAAAGUACCUUGGGAAACUACCAAGUUAACUACUUGGGAAAAUCACUCUUGUGAUUUGCUUUCUUUGUUAUUCUUUUCCCUGCUCCUCUUUUGGCCUGGGUGAGAGGUGGCAACUGUAAUUUUAAAUUUUAAUUUCAAGCUAAGAUAUUAAAAAAUUGAUCAAAGAAAUAUAUUUAAGCCAAGAAAUUUAAAUGGGCGAACUACAGUCUAGAGGUGCUAGCAAGCAAAUGUGUUGUUUUUAGGUGGUGGGAAAUUCAUACCAUGUUCCUUUAGUUUAUGUCAUGGAGUUGAAAGGCUAACAAACUUUUUUGGCUUUGCUUUCAGCAGCAUAAUACUUGUUUUUAUCAUGAUUUUUUUUUCCAUUUUUUUUCCAACUGUUUCAUUGCAUACCAGUUAAAUAUCUAAAUCAUGUUGAAUACAAAUUAUAUUACAAAAAAGCACAAUUUUAAGGAAUUCUCUUGGAAAACAUGACUUUCUAGGGAAGUAUAGGUUAGAUUCUGUUGACUUUUGUGACAAUGAUACUUUGAUGGUAGAAGGUGUGGCAGGGAUUUUAGCUGUAUAAGCUCUUUAAUGAGAAUUACUAUUUUAAAUUAUAUGAUUAUUACCUCAGCUCUUUUUUAGAAGGUCUUUUGGUGGUGUGUGCCAGGGUGAGAAGCCCUGUUGAUUCCUUUUAAUUACAGGAAAAACAAAACAUCUUGGGAUGUGAUGGCCUUCCGUAAUAUGUGGUUGUGCUGUGUUCCAUUGGAAUGUGACAGAGGUCUGCUGAGGCCAUACAGCACACAGCGAUGCUGUUAGAUGGCUGAAUUUCAUUAUCUGGACACGGAUAUGUGUCAAGGCUGCAAGAGCCAAUCAUUCAUUCAGUGUGGAGUAGGCUCUCUUGCUUUUGUAAACCAUAGGGCAAGAUGUCCAUGGAGCCUUGGAAAAUCCCAUGGUGGAUACAAGCCUGUUGGAAGAAUUCAUUAGUAGUGACGUAGAGUUUGGAACUUUGCAAAGCCAGUUGCCAGACUCCCCACCGGACUCUGGCUCAGAACCGUGUUCCCCCCCACAGCUACAAACCCCAUGGUGUGAUGCUGUGUGGCCCAGUGGGCUGCAGCCUCCUCUCCCAUGCCCAUCUGUCAGGGCACCCAGCAAGCUUCCCUGCAGGUUCAUGGAGACCUAUCCUGACCCCAGUGCCACAGGGUAUCCUUGCACCAUCUCCCAAGGCUGCUGCCUGAAGACAGAAAAUGCUGUGCCUCCAUGGAAUCAUUCCACAUCCUCCAGCUGUUCGGGUUUUAAUUAUUCAUACUUCCAGCCUAAUGCAUCUCAGAUUUCUGGUAUUUCUGCAGCAUCAAGCAAAAAAAGGAAGCUCUCCCAAUUACUAGGAGAUGGGAUUGAUUCUCCAGUGCAGUCUCAGGAUUCCAGACAAGCAACUGUAAAGGACUAUGCUGCUGAAGUGCAAGAAUAUGACAGUGAUGGACAGAAUGCAGCUUUGGAAAAAUGCUGUCAAGCUCUUACAUGGCAACCAUAUCAAACUUCUCAGUGGAACAGCUUAUUUGACUCUAAUUAUGAAAAACUACCUGCUGUAGGAUAUCACAUUGUCACAGAUAAAGGAUUUAAUUUUUCAACAACAGAUGAUGCCUUUGUGUGCCAAAAGAAAAAUCAUUUCCAAAUCACAGUUCAUAUUAGAAUCACUGGACAUCCAAAAUAUGUCAAAACUCAGCAGGGGAGGAAACCAAUAGAAAAGUAUUACUUGAAAGCUUAUGGAAUUAAGGUGGAAGCUCCAAAUGAAACAAUUGCUAUUGAACAGUCUCAAUCAGAUAGAAGCAAAAAAACUUUUCCUCCUGUAAAAGUUGAUCUGCCAGGGGACCAGAUAACUAAAGUAACACUGGGACGGCUGCAUUUCAGUGAAACAACAGCAAAUAAUAUGAGAAAAAAGGGGAAACCUAAUCCUGAUCAGAGAUACUUCAUGCUGGUGGUUGGACUGUAUGCUGUAUCUCAGGACCAGUUCUACUUACUAUCUGCAAAUGUCUCUGAAAAGAUCAUUGUGAGGGCAUCCAACCCAGGGCAGUUUGAGCACGACAGCGAUGUGCUGUGGCAGCGAGGAGCCGCUCCAGAGACCAUAGCGUAUCACGGCCGCGUCGGGAUUAACACAGACGCGCCGGACGAAGCGCUGGUGGUCUGCGGGAACGCCAAAGUGAUGGGCAGAGUCAUGCACCCCUCUGACAGCCGAGCCAAGCAGAACAUCCGCGAGGUCGACACAAAUGAGCAGUUGAAAAGAAUAGCACAAAUGAGGCUGGUGGAAUAUGACUACAAGCCUGAAUUUGCAUCUGUUAUGGGAAUAAAAGAUACCCAUGAAACAGGAAUAAUAGCACAGGAAGUGAAGAGUCUUUUACCUGAAGCUGUUAGAGAAGUUGGAGAUGUUGCUUGUCAUGAUGGUGAAAAAAUAGAAAACUUCCUCAUGGUUGACAAGGAUCAGAUCUUUAUGGAGAAUGUCGGUGCUGUAAAGCAGCUUUGUAAGCUAACAAACAAUCUUGAAGUCAGAAUAGAAGAAUUGGAACAGUGGAAUAGGAAACUGGCCAGGCAGAAACGGAUCAACAGUUUAAAGUCAACAGUCAGUGAAGAGAGCAAAGUCAGCAGGUAUAGUCGAACUAAUAGUCUCUUGCCAUCAAUAAAAUCAGUCCCACUAAAAUCCAGGAAGGUUUGUUUAUCAAAGACCAAAGAAUCUUGCUCCGUGAAGAUUUUCCGGGUGACUAUAAUAGCUUUGAUUGCUAUUAUGGCACUAUGUGCUUUGGCAAUAUGGAGCCUAUAUUUACUUAGCAUUCACGACAGACGUUUUGAAAAACAUCCAGUUUACAGCAGCACCUCAAGUCCUGUUCCAGUCUCUCCCUCUACUACCACAGCAGCAUUACAGAGUGAGAGCACAGUUUCUCAGACCACACAGCCCAUCAGCAGGAUCCCUGAAGUGAAUUUCUGUGGCAUUUUAUCUUGUGACAAGGUCUAUUGUUGUCCAAUUCACCAACCAAAAGUCAAAUCUCUAAGCUAUGAAAAAAAUAAUGCAAAGGGAAAACAAAACAAAAGUGACAUGUUACCCAAACGAGAUUCCAUCAAAAAACCUCGUGGAAGACCUGAUCUUGGAAAUGACUGGAUUGAUACAACAGUCAGUUCCAUACAGAUUUUGCAAACUCAGCAAAGCAUUGACAACCGCUAUUGUAGUAAAAAUCUGCAGUGCAGCUCUGGAAACUACAGCUAUGUUAUUCCUAUUAACAAAUACACGCCCAUGGAUGUAGAAAUCUCACUGGAAAUAAACACCACAGAACCAUUAAUUAUAUUUCUCUGCAAAGUCACAUUUGGAAAUUUUUGCUCCCAUUAUUCUUCCAGCCAAAACAGUAGGAAGAAUUUCCAAGAAACCACACAGGAGGGCAGUCAGACAUUCUGCCAAAGGGCAGUGCUGCUCGGCAUGGAGCUUGCAAAGAAGGAUGGGCAUUGUGGAAUUUUGAAAUGCAAGAUCUUUGCACUUUUUAAAGUGAGACUGAUGAAGCGUUUAAGGUGCAUACUUCUACUUCAUCCAUGUAAGAAGCUGGAGAGAAAACUGAGAUGAUUUACUUAGGACUUGAGUCCUUUCUUUGUUCUCCCCAAACCCACAGAAUCACAGAAUCAAUGAGGUUAGAAAAGACCUUUGAGAUCAUCAAGUCCAACAUAUGACAUCACAUGACCUUGUCAACAAGACCAUGGCACUGAGUGCCAUAUCCAGUCUUUCCUUAAACACCCCAGGGAUGAUGACUCCACCACCUCCCUGCACAACACAUUCCAAUGCCCAGUCACCCUUUCUGUGAAGAAUUUCUUCCUGAUCUUCAACCUAAACCUCCUGUGGUGCGGCUUAAGACUGUGUCCUCUCGUCCUGUUGUCUUGCCAGUUGCCUGGGAGAAGAGACCAGCUCCCACCUGGAUACAACCUCCUGUCAGGAAGGGAAAUGGUUAUCUUACUGAUUUUCAACAUCACUGCCAUCAUCAAAACAGUGCUCUGUGUUAUUGGCUCUGUCAUGAUAAUCUUCAAGAGCAUGAAGUCAACAUAGUCUCCAUGAUGGUGAUAAAAAGUAAGCCUCUGUCGAGUUUUCCCAGGAAGAAGAUUGGGAUACUUUCCCAUUCUUCUCUUGUUUGUCUUAGAGAACUCGAAUUUGGUUUGGUUCUGGUUGCCAGUGACAUGUGCAUUGCAGAUGCCAGAAAGACCUCCAGAAGACACAGACACUGUCAUGCAGGAGCUACCAGUAGUGACAACUGCAUGUGAUUUAGAGAAGAUAUUCAGUAAUUCUUCCUGUUCUUCUCACGUGAGUUUGUGAAAAUGGACCAAAAUGGUGGUUUCCACUGCUCAAACCAGUGAUCAGUGUAAAGGAGUAAAGCUUUUUUUUCUGUGAGUCAAAUUGUCUGCAGCACA